GCCACUGUCAUUGGGGAGUAGCCAUCCUUUGAAUCCCCAAAGGAGUCAGCGUCAACAGACUUGGUGGUUUCCGUACCCCAUGGCGCUGACGGUUCCCGCGCGGCGGCCUUGCCUGCCGCCCCGGGCCAGCCAGGCGAGACC
rnacentral:sRNA from 1 species